UCUUUUUAUAUCAUAAACAAACAAAAAAAACAGUAGAACAAGAAGAAAGAAAAAAAACAUGGUGACGCAUAUGAAGACCGGCGGAGGAAGAUGAAGACUCACGGCGGCUCACAUAAGAUCACGGCGGCCGGAGAUCCUCCAGCGCGGUGGCCGGAGGUGAAAACUUCCAGAACUCAAAUUAUUUUACAUUUUCAGAUUAUCAACCUUUUGAAGUAACAAAAUCAAGGAAUGGUGGUGAAAAGAAACUCCGGCGCGGUGGUUACGAUUUCCGGCGGUGGUUUCCGGUCAGGUGACGAAUUCAGGGACAAACAAAAUGUUUGGUGGGCAAAGGAGAACGAGUUUGGCUGGACUUAGCAUGGUGAAAUUGAAGUUUAGAGCUUGAAGAUUAUCAUGAAGUUCUUAGACAUAGGCUUUAUUUUUAUGUAACUUCAAAUAUAUUCCUCUUUCAAUCUUCUUGCACUUGUAUGGAUCUUAAAAAAACAUUGAAUCUUUUUGUAAGCAACUUUGUAUCAAGACUUGAGUUGAAGGAAUUUGUGAGCUCUUGAGAAUUUUAUUUGAAAAAUAUUUGCAAA